UUCAGCACAAUGUGUAAUGGGCUAGUAGGAUGUUACAUGGCAUCAGUAAUGUAACAAGAAUCUAUUGAAUACGGUUGCAGGUCUUUAGGUCUUUAUUCACGAACGUUCUUAGGGGUCCCAGAACAUCUUUGCAAAUUGAUUCGCCACGAAGAAAUGGUCCAUGGAGCUGUACGAUGUUACACCGUAUCAGUAAUGUAAUAACAGUUCAUUAAUUACGCUGUAGAUCUUCAGGCCUUACUCACGGAAGUUCUUGGAUGACCUAGAAAUACAACCUGGAAAUUGGUGCUUUACAGAACAACGCUCCAUGGAGCGGUAGGAUGUUGCACCGUAUCCGCAUAUGUCUUCCAUCCUAGCUUUACUACGCUUUAGCCAUUACGCUCUCUUCAUGACGGUUCUUUCUUACUGCAGUGAGUAUGUUUCUUUUUUGCUCUUAUUACAUCAAAAUCAGAAACACUCAUCUUUUGCGCAUCACCUGAUUUCCGAAUAAAGUUUUAAAUAAAAUGUUUAUCCACCCUUCUGGCAAGUCUCAUACAUACAUAAAACAAACCGAGAUAAGAAACCAACGCUAAAGGUGAAAUUACUUCGCUACUAAUGAGGUUCUCAUUUUAGAUCAACUUAACAUGCCCGCAACAUUCCAUCGAGACAUGAGCAAAAAUAUUCCAAACUGUUCGUUCAAGAACAAACCAUAACUGGUUAGUUAAGCUGUCUCACGAGCCAUUCUUCUCCAAAGCAGACUCUAGAGUUCAAGCAGCCAGCAUCAAGCCAGCAGGUAUCCCCUGACAACCGCCGAAAAAGAAAUGUGAACCCCAGUUAGGGGAUGGCAUUCUUAAAAGUUUACGGGAGCAGCUUUCCCUUUCUUAUCCCAUCAUCACCGCGCACUUUCUGGUGAAGUUUGAGGAAAAAAGUUCCCCACCUCAACGGCUCUGUCAGCUCCGAAGCAUCAAACGAAGGGGCAAGUCAAUCCACAUCAUCCAUCCGUCCGUUUGUCGUCGAGGUCGAGUCAAGCGACGACAGUUUCAAGUUGUGUAUGUUGUUUUUGCCUUCGACCAGCAGCAGCUGCUCCACCGAAAUCUUCAAAAGUGGCCCUUUUUUCCUAGACUCUCUUGAUGCAGCAUCAGUCAGACAUCUUGAAGGUAGAUACCGGAGUUCCACCCACGCCGACCAACAGCCCUCCGUAUGAAGUCUUUCCCAAAAACUUGUUGAGCUCGAACGAAUGCACUCCGACCACUCCGACUGACCCUUUAUGAACUGUUGAUGCCUGAACAAGUUCCCUCCGAGAGAUGAGAUGAGAUGGUUGAUGGAUAGCCACCACGUGCUUUACUCUAAAGAAGUACGGCAUGUACUGGUCCACGUAUGAACGGUCGUUACCCUCUCAUUCAGACUGUUUUUGUGGGCUUCAAACCAACCGAGUUCAACAGGUUGGUUGUAUGGCUGACGUGUGUCGUGGAGCCAUGCAUACUCUACUUACAAAUGGGCGCACAGAGGAAAACCCGUCCUAGACCCAACAUAAUAAAGAGCCUAGGUAUAUUGGAUUAAACAAAAUAAACAUGGUAUUAUUCAGAAUUUUUCUGAUACAAAUCGA